rnacentral:rRNA from 1 species
UCAGACGAUGCGUCAUGCAUAUCAAUAAGCGGAGGAAAAGAAACUAACAAGGAUUCCCCUAGUAACGGCGAGUGAAGCGGGAAGAGCUCAAAUUUGAAAUCUUAAAGGGUUUCCCUUUACGAAUUGUAGUUUAAAGAAGCGUUUUCUGUUGAGGUUUUGGUAAAAGUUCUUUGGAAUAGGACAUCAUAGAGGGUGAGAAUCCCGUAUUUGACCUUUACUUUCAACUUUGUGAUACACUUUCAAAGAGUCGGAUUGUUUGGGAAUGCAGUCCAAAAUGGGUGGUAAAUUUCAUCUAAAGCUAAAUAUUGGCGAGAGACCGAUAGCGAACAAGUACCGUGAGGGAAAGAUGAAAAGAACUUUGAAAAGAGAGUUAAACAGUACGUGAAAUUGUCAAAAGGGAAGCGUUUGACACCAGUGUUGUUUUUCUGAAAAUCAAUUAAAGAACUGUUUAUGCUAAGCUGUUUAGACUUUAUCAGCUAUCUGUUUAGUUUUAGGCUUUUCUUUAAUGCACUUUUCAGUUAACAAGUCAACAUCAAUUUCUUUUGCUGUAAAAAAGCUUGAGGAAGGUGGCUUGAGAUUCGUCUUAAGUGUUUAUAGCCUCUUGCCUAUGCAGUCGGAGAGAUUGAGGUCUGCAGCGUAGAUCCUUCGGGGCUAAAUGCAUUUGUGCUAAGUUAUAGCAUUUUAUAGACAACUUGUUGACUAUGAUUUGUCUUGUAGCUUACUCGCUUAUGUUAUUUUACCUACGCUUAGGAUGUUGACACACGCGCGUGCUCG